rnacentral:rRNA from 1 species
AUGAACGCUGGCGGCGUGCUUAAUACAUGCAAGUCGAACGGAAACAGUAGCAAUAUUGUUUUAGUGGCGGACGGGUGAGGAAUGCAUCGGAAUCUGCCCUGUUGUGGGGGAUAACCAACCGAAAGGUUGGCUAAUACCGCAUGAGACGGCGACGUGAAAGCGGGGGAUCUUUGGACCUCGCGCGACAGGAUGAGCCGAUGCCGGAUUAGCUAGUUGGUGGGGUAAAGGCCCACCAAGGCGACGAUCCGUAGCUGGUCUGAGAGGAUGAUCAGCCACACUGGAACUGAGACACGGUCCAGACUCCUACGGGAGGCAGCAGUGGGGAAUAUUGGACAAUGGGCGCAAGCCUGAUCCAGCAAUGCCGCGUGUGUGAAGAAGGCCUUCGGGUUGUAAAGCACUUUUGUCCGGAACGAAAAGCGAUGGGUUAAUACCCUGUCGUGCUGACGGUACCGGGUGAAUAAGCACCGGCUAACUUCGU